rnacentral:rRNA from 1 species
GAACGGUAACAGGAAACAGCUUGCUGUUUCGCUGACGAGUGGCGGACGGGUGAGUAAUGUCUGGGAAACUGCCUGAUGGAGGGGGAUAACUACUGGAAACGGUAGCUAAUACCGCAUAACGUCGCAAGACCAAAGAGGGGGACCUUCGGGCCUCUUGCCAUCGGAUGUGCCCAGAUGGGAUUAGCUUGUUGGUGGGGUAACGGCUCACCAAGGCGACGAUCCCUAGCUGGUCUGAGAGGAUGACCAGCCACACUGGAACUGAGACACGGUCCAGACUCCUACGGGAGGCAGCAGUGGGGAAUAUUGCACAAUGGGCGCAAGCCUGAUGCAGCCAUGCCGCGUGUAUGAAGAAGGCCUUCGGGUUGUAAAGUACUUUCAGCGGGGAGGAAGGGAGUAAAGUUAAUACCUUUGCUCAUUGACGUUACCCGCAGAAGAAGCACCGGCUAACUCCGUGCCAGCAGCCGCGGUAAUACGGAGGGUGCAAGCGUUAAUCGGAAUUACUGGGCGUAAAGCGCACGCAGGCGGUUUGUUAAGUCAGAUGUGAAAUCCCCGGGCUCAACCUGGGAACUGCAUCUGAUACUGGCAAGCUUGAGUCUCGUAGAGGGGGGUAGAAUUCCAGGUGUAGCGGUGAAAUGCGUAGAGAUCUGGAGGAAUACCGGUGGCGAAGGCGGCCCCCUGGACGAAGACUGACGCUCAGGUGCGAAAGCGUGGGGAGCAAACAGGAUUAGAUACCCUGGUAGUCCACGCCGUAAACGAUGUCGACUUGGAGGUUGUGCCCUUGAGGCGUGGCUUCCGGAGCUAACGCGUUAAGUCGACCGCCUGGGGAGUACGGCCGCAAGGUUAAAACUCAAAUGAAUUGACGGGGGCCCGCACAAGCGGUGGAGCAUGUGGUUUAAUUCGAUGCAACGCGAAGAACCUUACCUGGUCUUGACAUCCACGGAAGUUUUCAGAGAUGAGAAUGUGCCUUCGGGAACCGUGAGACAGGUGCUGCAUGGCUGUCGUCAGCUCGUGUUGUGAAAUGUUGGGUUAAGUCCCGCAACGAGCGCAACCCUUAUCCUUUGUUGCCAGCGGUCCGGCCGGGAACUCAAAGGAGACUGCCAGUGAUAAACUGGAGGAAGGUGGGGAUGACGUCAAGUCAUCAUGGCCCUUACGACCAGGGCUACACACGUGCUACAAUGGCGCAUACAAAGAGAAGCGACCUCGCGAGAGCAAGCGGACCUCAUAAAGUGCGUCGUAGUCCGGAUUGGAGUCUGCAACUCGACUCCAUGAAGUCGGAAUCGCUAGUAAUCGUGGAUCAGAAUGCCACGGUGAAUACGUUCCCGGGCCUUGUACACACCGCCCGUCACACCAUGGGAGUGGGUUGCAAAAGAAGUAGGUAGCUUAACCUUCGGGAGGGCGCUUACCACUUUGUGAUUCAUGACUGGGGUGAAGUCGUAACAAGGUAACCGUAGGGGAACCUGCGGUUGGAUCAC